rnacentral:tmRNA from 1 species
GGGGGCGACCUGGUUUCGACGUGGGUUGCAAAGCAGCGCAGGGCAUACCGAGGGCUGGUGACCUCGUAAAUCCAUCCAGAAACAAACUAACUGCAAACGAUUCUUCGUACGCACUGGCAGCUUAAUGCAGCCAGCUCCACAACACUUCGUCCCUGGGGUGUGCCGGCAACGGUGGUGGAGUCAUUUACAGGGACUCGGCUUGAAUCGCGCUACUUGAAACAAGCUUAAAUCUAAGGUGGCUCGCCUUUGGAAAGCGUGCACGUUCGCGUUCCAGGGGUUAAAUCAAAAGACAGUGCUAAGUAUGUAGAACUGUCUGUCGAGGGCUUGCGGACGAGGGUUCAAUUCCCUCCGCCUCCACCA